GAAAUAUAAGAACAUGUCUCUUAACUUUUAAUUAAAAAAAGCUAAGAACCGACUCUUAAAUAAGAGUUUUAAGAGACGGUUCUUAACUUUUUUAGUUAAAAGUUAAGAGACGGGUUCUUAUAUUCC
rnacentral:pre_miRNA from 1 species